UACGAAGGGGGCUAGCGUUGCUCGGAAUGACUGGGCGUAAAGGGCGCGUAGGCGGCUUGCACAGUCAGGCGUGAAAUUCCUGGGCUCAACCUGGGGACUGCGCUUGAGACGUGUGGGCUUGAGUGGGGAAGAGGGUCGUGGAAUUCCCAGUGUAGAGGUGAAAUUCGUAGAUAUUGGGAAGAACACCGGUGGCGAAGGCGGCGACCUGGUCCUUGACUGACGCUGAGACGCGAAAGCGUGGGGAGCAAACAGG
rnacentral:rRNA from 1 species